CAUAAAUGUCUUGGUGCCUCAUUCUCCCCACAUCGAAUGUGGGAGGUUACACAGUGAUAAACCCUGAGAAGCUCAUAGCAGCCGCUGUUGUGUAAACAAUGAGCAGUUCAGAGUGUUCUGAGGGCCCUUGCGCUGUUCCGGAAGGUCUGUGUCAUUGGACCUGUGAAAUCUGAGGCCUGGAAGGUGAUGAAGAUGGGAGCACAUUGUGUCCACCUCCCUGGUACCUGGAGUGAGCGCCACCAGCGCACGCCGUGUACCCUGGCUUUACAGCUCCCUGUCUCAGCGCUGGCCAAGAGUAUUCAAGUUGGGAUUUUCACCUC
ensembl:lncRNA